UGGGGGAUAUUGCACAAUGGAGGAAACUCUGAUGCAGCAACGCCGCGUGAGGGAAGAAGGUCUUCGGAUUGUAAACCUCAGUAGUCAGGGACGAAAGAAAUGACGGUACCUGAAGAGUAAGCUCCGGCUAACUACGUGCCAGCAGCCGCGGUAAUACGUAGGGAGCGAGCGUUGUCCGGAUUUACUGGGUGUAAAGGGUGCGUAGGCGGGAUAGCAAGUCAGACGUGAAAUACCGAGGCUUAACUUCGGGGCUGCGUUUGAAACUGUUAUUCUUGAGUGAAGUAGAGGCAGGCGGAAUUCCUAGUGUAGCGGUGAAAUGCGUAGAUAUUAGGAGGAACACCAGUGGCGAGGGCGGCCUGCUGGGCUUUAACUGACGCUGAGGCACGAAAGCAUGGGGAGCAAACA
rnacentral:rRNA from 1 species